AGAACCUUACCAGCCUUUGACAUCCCGGUCGCGGGCACCAGAGAUGGAGCCCUUCAGUUCGGCUGGACCGGAGACAGGUGCUGCAUGGCUGUCGUCAGCUCGUGUCGUGAGAUGUUGGGUUAAGUCCCGCAACGAGCGCAACCCUCGCCCUUAGUUGCCAUCAUUUAGUUGGGCACUCUAAGGGGACUGCCGGUGAUAAGCCGCGAGGAAGGUGGGGAUGACGUCAAGUCCUCAUGGCCCUUACAGGCUGGGCUACACACGUGCUACAAUGGCGGUGACAGUGGGACGCAAUGGGGAGACCCUGCGCAAAUCUCAAAAAGCCGUCUCAGUUCGGAUUGUGCUCUGCAACUCGAGCACAUGAAGUUGGAAUCGCUAGUAAUCGCAGAUCAGCACGCUGCGGUGAAUACGUUCCCGGGCCUUGUCACACCGA
rnacentral:rRNA from 1 species